GAUGAAGAACGUAGUGAAAUGCGAUAAGUAAUGUGAAUUGCAGAAUUCAGUGAAUCAUCGAAUCUUUGAACGCACAUUGCGCCCGCCAGUAUUCUGGCGGGCAUGCCUGUUCGAGCGUCAUUUCAACCAUCAAGCCCCCCGGCUUGUGUUGGGGACGUGCGGCUGCCGCAGGCCCUGAAAAGCAGUGGCGGGCUCGCUGUCACACCGAGCGUAGUAGCAUACAUCUCGCUCUGGGCGUGCUGCGGGUUCCGGCCGUUAAACCACCUUCAUAACCCAAGGUUGACCGCGGAUCAGGUAGGAAGACCCGCUGAACUUAAGCAUAUCAAUAAGCGGAGGA
rnacentral:misc_RNA from 1 species